UUGUAGGGAAAAGGCUACGAAAUUACUGGAACAAUUUUGAAAACUCUUUCAAUAUAUCUCUUUUUAUAUCUUCAUAUAACUAAGUAUUACCUACAUUAUUAUUUUUAUUUUGAUUUUGAUCAAUUAAAAUAGUUGUAAAUUAUAUUUAAUACGAAAUGAAAAUAUUGAUCCUGCAUUGACGGGCUGAAACCUCACUAGCUCAACGGUAAAGAGGUCGGACUCAUCAACGAGAAGUCGUGGUUCGAUCCCCACCCGCUGGACUAUUAUCGGUUUUAAGAAUAGUCCCAACACAGCCUUCUCCGGCUAGUUAGAAAGGAACAGGAUUAUUGGUAAUUUUUCAAAAAUAUUAUAAUAAUAUAUCGUCCUUCAGUAAUAAAAAUUAACUUGUUUCGUCACUUUCGAAAUAACUUCGCAGAAGUCGUACCUCAGCGGGCUGUAUCGUAUUUCAUGCGGUUGUAACCCAACACGAGUUGUCCAAUAACGAUAGGGCCGGAAUUAUGCGGUCGGGUGUAAAACGAGCCUUUGUACCUAAGUUUAUGCAAGCUGAUACUAAAGCACUAAAAUAAUCCCAUAAUCGCAUUAGGACAUAGUCUAGACAUUUAGUUACAUGUCCCUAAUGGUCAUUUUAUCUAUACUAAUUAUAAAGUUGAAGAGUUUGUUGAUUGAACGCGCUAAUCUCAGGAACUACUGGUUCGAUUUGAAAAAUUCUUUCAGCGUUAGAUAGCCCAUUUAUCAAGGAAAGCUAUAGGCUAUAUAUUAUCCCGAUAUUCUUACGGGAACGGGAACUACCCGGGUGAAACCGUGAGGCUUCAGCUAGUUUUAUAUAAUAACUUUAAAUAAUGGUAAACUCGCCGUCCUCACAAAAACGCCAAGUUUAUGAGGAUGGUUAUUUAUGUACCUAAUUUUGUAACACUUUUUGUUUUUGGUACAAUAAAAUAAAAAAAAUAAAAACCCUGACUUCUAUUCGAAGGGCGAAGUUUGAAUCCCGUCUGGGGCAUGCACUUUUCAGUUAUGUGCAUUUUAAGAAAUUAAAUAUAACGUGUCUCAAACGGUGAAGAAAAACAUCGUGAGGAAACCUGCAUACCAGAGAAUUUUCUUGAUUCUCUGCGUGUGUGAAGUCUGCCAAUCCGCAUUGGGUCAGCGUGGUGGACUAUUGGCCUAAUCCCUCUCUCUGAGAGGAGACUCGAGCUCAGAAGUGAGCCGAAUAUGGGUUGAUAGCGAUGUGCACUUCAUAAAUGUAUUAAAGUUCUGAAUACCCUAAGACAUGUUUUCCUUAAUACUUAUUAAAUGCAGGUUCUCCCAGGUUAGUUUUUCUUACUAGUGCAUAUUCUGAUCGAGAACCUUAUGCACGCCACUGUAAUUAGCUUACCUCAUCUCAUAUAGUAAAAUAAUUUUAGUUAUUCGACGAGGAUUGAAAACCUUACAACUGCCACAGAUGAUAUAAGACUAGAAGUGCUAGAAGAUAUUGAAAGAAAAAAAAAUGCGUUUAUUUCGAAAUUAUGCCACACAUCACAAUAUCUCCAAAACAUCAGGUCAUCCAGGACAAUACCCUGCGAUGUGUGGCAUAAACCAGAAAAUGGCCCCAUUAAACAAACGACAAACAAGCGAAAAGACACAAAAGGCAUACUUUUUUCAUUUUACCUAAUAAAUAAUUUACACAAUGAUGGUCUUAUUUUAUCUACACGUGAAUUCUGUCAUGAUAUUUUUAUAACUCGACAAAAAAUCGCGUUAGAAAGAGAUAAAUUCAUUUAAAAAUUUGAUCCAAAGGUUGGAAUCCAAAGCUGGAAAUUGUUAAAAGCAAUAACACUGCCUUUGCACAAUGCACAUGCUUGUAUACUGUUAUAUUUAUGUAAUUGCUUUUUGUUUGUGCAAUAAACUUAAUAAACUUUUAAAUAAAAUAAAUGAAAAUUAAAUUAAAUUUCACGCAGACAAAGUCGCGACCGUCCGCUAGUAUAAGUAUAAUCCAAUUAGUAGUCAUUAUCAAUAUUAAUUACUUUUUUAUUGUUAUGUUAAUUUAAUUUUACUUAUGUAAUAAAUAGAUUUGUGAUAAGCCUUAGUAUAAAUAUACGUUACAACCGUCGGGAGACUGUUUUUGGACAACCACAAUGAAAAUCCUACUAUUCAUCGCCGUGGUCGCUUGCGUGAACGCGUUAUACGUAACAGCGGUUCCGUAUAAAUACAUUGGAAACCCCUUGUUUUUGGACAACGGCAAACAUUCUGCUUCGCGCUCCAUGUAUUUGGAUAACUAUGGAGGCAUACGUGCUGCUUCACCCUUGAACAGAGACAAUUGGGAGUGACGAUGGCAUACGUAAUGCUCGUGCUUCGCCUGAAUCUCAAGCAUAAAUAAUAUAAUUGGUACAUUCGUAAGUUAGACCUUAUACAGGAUGCUCCGGAGUACCAUAAUGUAUUUCUCAUUUUACUUAGGCUUUCUCGGACUCACAACAAGAAAUUACUCUCACUUAGACCUCUUUUAUCUUUCCAAAGCACAAUUGAUAAAAGGAAAUUGUUACUACUCAUAGGAAGCAUCUGAAAACAUAAAUGCAGUCAAAUUAACACGCACCAAUCAUCCUCGUAAUCUGUCUGUCUGUCUCACCCAGACACCAGGGCAAUCGCGCGCACACACACGCACACACACACACUCACUCACACACACACACUUGACCCAGUCAAGCUUCGCUUUGACUUAUGUGCACUUCUACCCUAUCCUUACCCCUAUAGAAUAAAUCUUAUUCAAAUCCAACGAACCGAAAACCAUGAAAAUCGGUCCAGCAGAUCUUGAGUUAUAAGUGUUGUAACAAACCCGACUUUCUUAUAUAUAUAUAUAUAUAUAUAGAUUACACUUACAUUGUGAAUUUAAAAAAAAUUUAAUAAUAGAUAUAACAUUAAAAAAUAUUGAUAAUGAUGAUUUUUUAUAAUUUGUAACAUUUGUAAUUUAUCUUUACUUAUAUUUUAAUGUUAUACUUAUUUGAAACUGUAUUGUAUUGUAAAGUAAUAGUAAUCAAUUUCAAUACUGUAAUCCUUGUGGACUUAUGUAAGUUAAUGUUUUCUAAUAGUCAUGUAAUACCUCGUCUCGUUAAUACCUUGAAGUUAUGGGAAAUACUCCUGAAGAAAUUGUUAAAAGCAAUAAAACCGCCUUUGCACAUGCUUAUAAACUAUGUUAAUUUUGUUUUAGUGCAAUAAAGUAUACUUUUUUU